GUAGGGAAUAUUGGACAAUGGGCGGAAGCCUGAUCCAGCAAUGCCGCGUGAGUGAUGAAGGCCUUAGGGUUGUAAAGCUCUUUUACCCGGGAUGAUAAUGACAGUACCGGGAGAAUAAGCUCCGGCUAACUCCGUGCCAGCAGCCGCGGUAAUACGGAGGGAGCUAGCGUUGUUCGGAAUUACUGGGCGUAAAGCGCGCGUAGGCGGCGAUUUAAGUCAGAGGUGAAAGCCCGGGGCUCAACCCCGGAAUAGCCUUUGAGACUGGAUUGCUUGAACAUCGGAGAGGUGAGUGGAAUUCCGAGUGUAGAGGUGAAAUUCGUAGAUAUUCGGAAGAACACCAGUGGCGAAGGCGGCUCACUGGCUCGAUACUGACGCUGAGGUGCGAAAGCGUGGGGAGCAAACAGGAUUAGAUACCCUUGUAGUCC
rnacentral:rRNA from 1 species